CGCGGGGUGGAGCAGCCCGGUAGCUCGUCAGGCUCAUAACCUGAAUGUCACAGGUUCAAAUCCUGUCCCCGCACCCA
rnacentral:tRNA from 1 species